rnacentral:rRNA from 1 species
AGAGUUUGAUCCUGGCUCAGAGUUAACGCUGGCGGCGUGCCUAACACAUGCAAGUCGAGCGAAGAGUACCAGUGUAUCGGGCUCUUAGCGGCAGACGGGUGAGUAACACGUAAACUAUCUGCCCUCGAAUGGGAGACAACCUGGCGAAAGUCGGGCUAAUACCCCAUACAAUCUUCUCAAAGCAUUUUGAGGGGAUGAAAGGCCCGCAAGGGUCGUUCGAGGAGGAGUUUGCGGCCUAUCAGCUAGUUGGCGGUGUAACGGACCACCAAGGCUAUGACGGGUAGCCGAUCUAAAAGGAUGACCGGCCACAAGGGCACUGAGACACGGGCCCUACUCCUACGGGAGGCAGCAGUGGGGAAUUUUGGACAAUGGACGAAAGUCUGAUCCAGCGACGCCGCGUGAAGGACGAAGGUUUUCGGAUGGUAAACUUCUUUUGCAGGGGACGAAAGCGGGCAACCGUUGACGGUACUCUGCG